UACGUAGGGGCAAGCGUUGUCCGGAUUUACUGGGCGUAAAGAGCAUGUAGGCGGUUAUUUAAGUCAGAUGUGAAAGUUUUCGGCUCAACCGGAAAAGUGCAUUUGAAACUGGAUGACUUGAGUAUCGGAGAGGUAAGCGGAAUUCCUAGUGUAGCGGUGAAAUGCGUAGAGAUUAGGAAGAACACCAGUGGCGAAGGCGGCUUACUGGACGAAGACUGACGCUGGGAUGCGAAAGCGUGGGGAGCAAACAGGAUUAGAUACCACCGUAGUCCCU
rnacentral:rRNA from 1 species